rnacentral:rRNA from 1 species
UACGGGGGGGGGCAAGCGUUGUUCGGAAUUACUGGGCGUAAAGGGCUCGUAGGUGGCCAACUAAGUCAGACGUGAAAUCCCUCGGCUUAACCGGGGAACUGCGUCUGAUACUGGAUGGCUUGAAGUUCCGGGGAGAGGGAUGUCGGAAUUCCAGGUGUAGCGGUGAAAUGCGUAGAUAUCUGGAGGAACACCGGUGGCGAAGGCGCAUCCUGGACCGGCAUUGACGCUGAGGCGCGAAAGCCAGGGGAGCAAACGGG